CAAACGGUCCUUUUCAGGACCACCGAAUAUAAAUAAUUCCUCAAGAG
rfam:Aedes albopictus isolate Foshan contig53258, whole genome shotgun sequence.